UUUUUUUUUCCAUUCUUUUCCUUUCCUUUACUUACUUUUUUUUUCCUUUACAAAUAUUUACUUUUCCUUUUCUUUUUAUCCAUUCUUUUCCUUUUUUUUUUGUCCAUUACAAUUAAUAAAUCUUGUAAAUUUGCUUUUGACCCUAGGCCGUUGGAAGCUAGUUAAACUUUGAAAAAAUAAAUUGUUUCUAAGCCUCAAAUCAUUUCUUUUUUAAUGUUAAAAAUUCUCAAGCCCAAUUUUUGUUCAAAGCCCAAUUUCCAAGUUUGCUUCAUUUUCUUUGACCCAAAAUUAAUCAUUUGCAAGACACAAGGCUAAAAUAAUUUUCUUGAUCGUUUUAAAUUCGGCCUAAAGGCCCAUAUUUAUUUUUUUUUCUUUUUCUUUUUUUUAUCUUUAUAGCUAGGGUGUUGUACCUAGCUAACUGUUGCGGCCGGUGGAAGAAAGAAUCAAGAUUGCAAUUUUAUUCAUUUUGGCAACCGAUAGCCCCAGUACUCAGCAUAAGGGUAAAUUGGUAAAAAGAAACACAAUUUUUGAAAUUUUACAAACAACAAAAAUGGAUUAAACAACCAAACGAACAGAUUACAGAUUGAGCAAUACAGGAUUAGCAAUAAACGAGAUUAGCACAAACUAGUAUAUAGACUACAAAAGACAAAAACCCUAGGUUAGCAGACCAAGAAAAAAGCAAAAUAAAAUUAAAAGGAAAGAAUCCUAGAAAAAUAGAGACAAAGUAGUAAGCAAAGGAAGAGGCCCUUUCGAAGGUAUUCAUUCGAAGGAGAGAAUUAUGGAAGAAAAACAGUUUGACAAUGUCGGCUUUUUCUUCUUUUUUUUUUUUAAAAAGAAGAGUACGGGGUUUAAAAAGUGGCUUGUUUUAUUUAUUUUUUAUAUUGAGUCCACCGUGAAGGAGCUCCAGCGCCGGAGACAGGACGGUUCUCCGGUAAAGGAGCUAAACCAGAGACCGAACAAAAAGACCGAAAAAGACAUGAAAACAGAAAAGAACUAAAAGAAACAAAACAUUUUUCAAAAAAAGUUUUUAAUAUACCGGCCACCGUGCUCCGCUACUGGAGGCCGGAGAACCCUUGGGUUCUCUGGCGGGGGAGCUUGCCGAGAAGAAGACCAGACAAUAGAGAAAAAGAGAGAGAUAGUCA
rnacentral:lncRNA from 1 species